GACGAAGGGGGCUAGCGUUGUUCGGAAUUACUGGGCGUAAAGCGCGUGUAGGCGGUUGCCCAAGUCGGGUGUGAAAGCCUUGAGCUCAACUCAAGAAAUGCACUCGGUACUGGGUGACUAGAGGACCGGAGAGGAUAGUGGAAUUCCCAGUGUAGUGGUGAAAUACGUAGAGAUUGGGAAGAACACCAGUGGCGAAGGCGGCUAUCUGGACGGUUUCUGACGCUAAGACGCGAAAGCGUGGGGAGCGAUCCGG
rnacentral:rRNA from 1 species